rnacentral:tRNA from 2 species
GUAAGUAUAGUUUAACAAAAAUAUUAGAUUGUGAUUCUAAAGACAGGAGUUAAAAUCUCCUUACUAACC